rnacentral:rRNA from 1 species
ACCUUACUAAACUUAGUAAACUAUUAUUACCAAUAGACGUAAAGUACCGUGGAAGGGAAAGCUUAGAAAAGUUACCUUUAACAAAGUAAAAGGAGUGAAAAGUAUAAAAUUCUAAAUUACGUGAGCUAUUGAUGCACAUUUUUUGUGUAACAAUGUACCUUUUGUAUAAUGGAUCAACGAGUUGAUAUGUUUAGCAAAACGAAAGUUUUAAGCUUAGGUUUUAAUGAAAAUGAGUUAUCAAUAACAUAAGUUAAACAUAUUAUUUUACCCGAAACUGAAUGAUCUAGUCAUGUACAAGUUAAAAGACUGAACUCGUGUAUGUUGCAUUAUACUGGGAUGAUAUGUGAUUAGGGGUGAAAGGCUAAUCAAAUUCAGAAAUAGCUGGUUUUCUACGAAAUCUAUUAAAGUAGAGUGAAAAAUAAAAAAAAACUUGGAGGUAAAGCGACUUGUUGAGCUAGGGGGG